rnacentral:rRNA from 1 species
GAUCCUGGCUCAGGAUGAACGCUGACAGAAUGCUUAACACAUGCAAGUCUUUGGCGAAGCUGCGCUUGCGCAGACAAGCCAAGGCGGACGGGUGAGUAACGCGUAAGGAACUUGCCCUGCAGGACAGGGAUAACAGACGGAAACGACUGACAAGACCUGAUACAGUUGCCGGCACGCAUGUGCCUGGCGAUGAAAGGAGACGCUGCAGGAAAGCCUUGCG